rnacentral:sRNA from 1 species
GUUGCAGCGAGGAGAAGCGCAGCGACGGCGUCGGGAGAGCGCGCCUAGCUGGCCGGUGAAUGUUCAGCCUGUUGCCUAUGAAGAGCCUAAACAUUGGUGUUCAAUAGUCUACUAUGAAUUAAACAAUCGUGUUGGAGAAGCUUUUCAUGCAUCUUCUACUAGUGUGUUAGUAGAUGGAUUCACAGAUCCUUCAAAUAACAAAAGUAGAUUCUGCUUGGGUUUGUUGUCAAACGUUAAUCGUAAUUCGACAAUUGAAAACACUAGGCGACAUAUUGGAAAAGGUGUUCAUCUGUACUAUGUUGGUGGGGAGGUGUAUGCGGAAUGCCUCAGUGACAGCAGCAUAUUUGUACAGAGUAGGAACUGCAACUUUCAUCAUGGCUUUCAUCCCACCACUGUCUGUAAGAUUCCCAGCAGCUGCAGCCUCAAAAUUUUUAACAAUCAGGAGUUUGCUCAGCUUCUGGCUCAGUCUGUCAACCAUGGGUUUGAGGCAGUAUAUGAGCUCACCAAAAUGUGUACCAUUCGGAUGAGUUUUGUCAAGGGUUGGGGAGCAGAAUAUCACCGGCAGGAUGUAACCAGCACCCCAUGUUG